rnacentral:rRNA from 1 species
UCCAGACUCCUACGGGAGGCAGCAGUAGGGAAUUUUGCGCAAUGGGCGAAAGCCUGACGCGGCAACGCCGCGUGAACGAUUAAGCCCUUCGGGGUGUAAAGUUCUGUCAGUAGGGACGAAACUUGACGGUACCUACAGAGGAAGCACUGGCUAACUCCGUGCCAGCAGCCGCGGUAAUACGUAGGGGGCAAGCGUUAUCCGGAUUUACUGGGUGUAAAGGGGGCGCAGACGGCGAUGCAAGCCAGGAGUGAAAGCCCGGGGCCCAACCCCGGGACUGCUCUUGGAACUGCGUGGCUGGAGUGCAGGAGGGGCAGGCGGAAUUCCUGGUGUAGCGGUGAAAUGCGUAGAUAUCAGGAGGAACACCGGUGGCGAAGGCGGCCUGCUGGACUGCAACUGACGUUGAGGCCCGAAAGCGUGGGGAGCAAACAGGAUUAGAUACCCUUGUAC